AUUGAACGCUGGCGGCAUGCCUUACACAUGCAAGUCGAACGGCAGCGGGCCUUCGGGUGCCGGCGAGUGGCGAACGGGUGAGUAAUGCAUCGGAACGUGCCAUUGAGUGGGGGGAUAACGUAGCGAAAGUUACGCUAAUACCGCAUAUUCUGUGAGCAGGAAAGCAGGGGACCGCAAGGCCUUGCGCUCUUUGAGCGGCCGAUGUCAGAUUAGCUAGUUGGUGAGGUAAAGGCUUACCAAGGCGACGAUCUGUAGCGGGUCUGAGAGGAUGAUCCGCCACACUGGAACUGAGACACGGUCCAGACUCCUACGGGAGGCAGCAGUGGGGAAUUUUGGACAAUGGGCGCAAGCCUGAUCCAGCCAUGCCGCGUGAGUGAAGAAGGCC
rnacentral:rRNA from 1 species